UGCUGGAAUUCUUGGUUCUUGUUGCCAGGU
rnacentral:piRNA from 1 species